rnacentral:lncRNA from 1 species
AAAAGGUUGAAUACUAAAGCAUCCGAUAAACAGUUUUCCUACGGGGACUCAGACAGCUGAUAGGCCUGUGAGUGUUUGUAACUCCAGAUGUUUUAACUUUUCAGUUUCUCCGCGCCCUGUGUGGUGAUUCUGCACUUAGGAGAUUUAUUUAAACUGCAGCCACCGGAGACUGCCAGCUGCAAGCGACCCCAGCACCUCGUGGUGAGCAGGUCUUCCGGAAUCACUACAACUGUCGCAGGUGGGGCCUUGUUUGCUACUUGUUGAGACGUUUAAAAGACAUUUUGGCAGAAAGCACCGCCUCCCCCACCCCAAGCUGGACCCCGCGUCCAGCUGUGGGCCACCACUAAACCCACAAAGCGACCGGAUCCCUUGGAAGCGGCGGCCUGGAGGAAGCAGCCUGUCCCGAAGAAUCUGUGCAUUAUUUAUUCAGGCAAAGAGGAUAUUCAUUUCAACCAGGACGGGAAAUGUUCGAUUAUGUAACAUUGGGGACGAAGAGAAUGAGGCUUUUUUUUAUUUUUUCUUUUUCCUGGAGAAAAGUGUUGCGAAAUAGUCCAAGAACAGCUUCCAGUUUCCACAGUCCCUGUGCUUCCAGAGGCUUCUAAAUGACAAGAUCAAGGCGCCUGAGAAGCUAGAGAAUUGACGAGCACGGGACCCUCAACAGCUCCCCCUGAGCCUCCCCCACCCCUCAGCACCGCCGUCCCCUCCUGCCAUCAGGAGCGUGGAAAGCUCUUGCUGUCGCUUUCAUCAGUCAUCUCAGAGUCUCCUCGGUCCAAUCGUCCUGAGGCAUUUUCCCCACCUGUUCACACUCCAGCGCAACCCCAGAAACAAUCGUUAUUUCUAUGGUCUACUGCACAGAGCCAGCCAGAAAUAUAAUUAAGAAUCAUUCACAGGGAUGUGCAAACAAGACUGGGCUUGACCAACACAUCAAAAUUUCAGAAGACGAGCUGGGGACCAGAGAGAUGCAGUCCAAACCUUGACUCUACCUCGUAACUCAUUACCACCUCCACCUGUGCCUUGGAAUCUGCAGGCAGGUGCUGGCCUUCCCUUCUGGAGACCACAGCCAGCUCUCUGCUGCCCCCACCUGGUCCAUAGCAGAACCUGCAGACGGUAACCUGGCAAAUUGGUCCUUAAAUCUAUGGCGGCUUCACCAGUUUCCGGCAUCAAUUCGAAUUUUGCUAAUUUUGUUUCACCAUAGCCUGGCUUGACUUACGGGUCUCAAACAAUGCUUAAUGUUUAAUGGCCAAAUUAUGCUAACAAGCAAAUGAUCAAACUUAGGGGAAGCACUUUAUUUUUUAAGGUAAGUGCAAAACAGUGGUAGCAUUGUGAUCAUUCUGAAAAAUCUAGCCUAAAAUGAUGGCUUUUUUGUUUCUAAUCACUAGAACACACUAUGUAAGUGUAGAGUUAUUCCAAAAUGUGACCAUUUUUGUAACACUGAUUUUUUUUUCAUUCCAGUUCAAAUUUCCUAUAAUAGUAGUAACAGACGGUGGGGAGGAGGGGAAGAAGGAGGAAGAGGAGGAAAAGGAGAUGACUCAGCUAUAGUUCCCCUAACCCUCUUGGUUUAUGAAGCAGCUCAGAAACUUAUUAGAACAAAUUCCAGCAUCCGAGACCACUGAGCUAACCAUCCAACCACCCACACCCAAAGAAAUAGCAAGAACAUAAGUUUGGACCUGACCUGCUCAGCUCUCCACCACAAGCCUCUGGCUAGACUCAGGUACACAGUAGACCCUCAGUGAGUACUUAGUGAAUAAAUCAAUGAAUACGCACGUAAUUAGUAAUGUUUUCUAAACCAUACAUUCACUCAGUGCACUAGAAACACUUGUUAUUUUAUAUAGUCUGGCAAUAUAACAGCACUUGCUUCUAAUAUUGUACUCAAUAGUACAAGUGCCAUUCUCUCUCACCCUUAGUUAUUUCUAUUAAUAACUUCAACUCCAUAUUAUAUAUUUUUAAAUGGCCUAGGAGUGAGAAAAACAUUUAUUUUCAUAAACCAUCAAGGAAUUCCACUGCUAUGAUUGAAAAAUAAAAGGUCUGAAAAUACAUGUCUACAUUUUUUCACCUUUUGAAAACAUAGCAUUUCUCAACAGAAAUCCAAUGCAGUUUUACAAAUAUUCUCUUGUCCAUGAACUUUCACUGACAUCCAGAAGGUAUAACAGUGGGGCAGGUGAGUUUGGUGGUCUUAGGCAGAAUGGAACUGCAACUUAGGUUCAGUGGAAAAUGAUGCAAUUUCCUUGCAAAUCAAAACCACAAUGAAAUACCGUCUCACGCCAGUUAGAAUGGCGAUCAUUAAAAAGUCAGGAAACAACAGAUGCUGGAGAUGAUAUGGAGAAAUAGGAACACUUUUAUACUGUUGGUGGGAGUGUAAAUUAGUUCAACAAUUGUGGAAGACUCUGUGGCAAUUCCUCAAGGAUCUAGAACCAGAAACACCAUUUGACCCAGCAAUCCCAUUACUGGGUAUAUACUAAAAGGAUUAUAAAUUAUUCUAUAAAGAUACAUGCACACGCAUGUUUAUUGCAGCACUAUUUACAACAGCAAAGACUUGGAACCAACCCAAAUGCCCAUCAAUGAUAGACUGGAUAAAGGAAAUGUGGCACAUAUACACCAUGGAAUACUAUGCAACCAUAAAAAAGAAUGAGUUCCUGUCCUUUGCAGGGACAUGAAUGAAGCUGGAAACCGUCAUUCUCAGCAAACUAACACAGGAACAGAAAACCAACCACUGCAUGUUCUCACUCAUAAAUGGGAGUUGAACAAUGAGAACACAUGGACACAGGGAGGGGAACAUCCCACACCAGGGCCUGUUGGGUGGUGGGGGACAAGGGGAGGGAGAGCAUUAGGACAAAUACCUAAUGCAUGCAAGGCUUAAAACCUAGAUGACAGGUUGUUGGGUGCGGCAAACAACCAUGGCACAU